CCUACGGGUGGCAGCAGUGAGGAAUAUUGGUCAAUGGGCGGAAGGCUGAACCAGCCAAGUCGCGUGAAGGAUGAAUGAUCUAUGGGUUGUAAACUUCUUUUAUAGAGGAAUAAAGUUAGCCACGUGUGGAUAUUUGCAUGUACCCUAUGAAUAAGGAUCGGCUAACUCCGUGCCAGCAGCCGCGGUAAUACGGAGGAUGCGAGCGUUAUCCGGAUUUAUUGGGUUUAAAGGGUGCGUAGGUUGUUUGUUAAGUCAGCUGUGAAAGUUUGUGGCUCAACCAUAAAAUUGCAGUUGAAACUGGCAGACUGGAGUGUGUUUGAGGUAGGCGGAAUGCGUGGUGUAGCGGUGAAAUGCAUAGAUAUCACGAAGAACUCCGAUUGCGAAGGCAGCUUACUAAGCCAUAACUGACACUGAUGCACGAAAGCGUGGGGAUCAAACAGGAUUAGAUACCCUUGUAGUC
rnacentral:rRNA from 1 species